CAUGUCGUUUGCCAUUGAUUGAUUGAUGAUCCUUCAUAAGCAAAAACGCUCAAAAUUGGAGUUGAUUACUGUUCAGUGACUGUGUCGAUCUCCCCUUGUUCUAAAUUUGAUGUUUGGUCACUCGUGAUCACCAAAAUCGUACACCUUUUCAUUCAUGGGCAAUUGACGAAGAAUUUCUGAAACUUUACACCGAUUGCGUGUUUUUUUUGGAUUCGCCUCUUACUUGCGAGAAGGGCAUGGAUUGCAAGUAUGGGCGCUGUGAGAUUGCUAGGCUGAACCUCAACUCAAGGCACGCCUUUUUAAACGAGUUACUCAAUACAGUGGAUUGUUGCUGUACCGGUUGGCUAGAAGCUGUUUCAAUCCAACUGUUCUUUCAGGCAUACUGUGGCUCAUUGGAUGGGCUUCCAGCAGCAACAUCAGAAUCUGCCCCAUGUACUGAACCUGUGAUCAAGACUAUCAUUUAUUAGUUAUUUUUAUUUCAAUGGGUACUGCAAUAAAGUUGACAAAUGUCCAUUUCUGCAUAGCCUCGAGGCUGAUGUUCCACCAAUUGAGAAUUCAGUAAAACUAACAAUAGUGAAUUCUGAGGUGCUUCCAUUGGAAAAGAACACAUUUGCAGGAAGUGAUUCAGGGUUGGCACCUACUAAUGCACAUUUAAAUAUACCUGCUGCUGUAAAGGCAACAAUGAAUACUAAAGUCCAGCCAUAUGAAGAUUUUCAACCAUCUGCAUUAAAAGAUGUCGAAAACAAAAGAGAUUCCACACAGAUAUCUAUUUCUGAUUGUGAAGAGAGCCACAAUCAGGUCAAACUCCUUGUUUCCAGCAAGUCAUUCUGUUCAAAGUGAAUCUUAUGUAUGAAACUGAAGAGCACAGUUCAGGAGAUCGUGUGGAAGGCCAGCUUGGCUCAGAGGAUAGGUGGGGAUCAUCUCCAGGCCUUGCUGUCCUUGUGGAUGGAGAAUCAGAGUAUUUGGAUUGUGAGGAUGAUCAAGAGUUCUUAGUGGAACUUGAUAGGGAACGAAAGGAGUUGAACAGCCACUUCUUAGGGUGAAUUUGAAAACCCAGUGGACUAUAAUUCAAAAUACCACCACACAGAAGUUCACUAUGAAGGUGAGAUGUACUAUCCUUAUAAUGAUCAAGUCAUUGAGCACAUUUUUGAUGAUGCGACUAAUGAGGAAAUGCUCCUGUGUAUGGAAAAGCCAAAAUGUUGGAUUUCAUUUUAAGGCGGAAGAGGAAACUAAUGCAUGUGGAACUAGGAGGCUAUGAUAGCUGCAAAGGUGUAGACCUCCGGGAGAAACUAAGUAGGCGUAAGUUUGUUGGCAGCCAUUCGGUGACUGGCUUAUCAAGAAUGAGGGAAUCAAGCCGGCUGAUUAGUAGACGCCAUGAUUGGUCAUGGUGGAAAGGUAUGGAACAUAGGCAACCACAUGGAAGAUUGGCAUCAGAUGUACAUAGGAGAAGUAGUGAAUCAGUUGGUAAUGAUAGAAAUUACAUGAAUGGUGGAAGGCCUUGUGGUUUGCUUAGAUACUCACAGCAGUAUCACCCCAGGAAGCAUUUCAAGGAGAAAAGGCGUACUCAGAGGAGAUCUGAAGUCUCAAGGAAAUUGGCACCAAGGGAGCGGAGAUCUUAUACAUUUACUGGUCCUAAAACUCUUGCCCAGAUCAAGGAAGAGAAGAAAAAAGUAGAAGGAAAGUGUGAUUUCAAUGAAAAAUGGGUCACUCAAGAAAAAUGGUAUCAACAGACUUCCAAGGUCCCCAACCCCUUAGUGAAAUCCUGAAGAAGAAAAAGAAGCUGACUGGUGAAAGUGAAGCUAAUGCCAGUAGCCCCUCUACUAUGACUCUAAAUAGUUUCAAAAUAAAUCAAACUAUUCUCAAUAUAUUAAGUUUUUCA